UCCGGUUGAUCCUGCCGGACCCGCCCGCUAUUUGGGUGAGGAUAAGCCAUGCGAGUCGAAUGGGAUACCUAAACUUCCCAUGGCAAACUGCUCAGUAACACAUGAUCAACUUACCCUAUAGAGAGAAAUACCCUCGGGAAACUGAGGAUAAUGACUCAUAAUUGAAAAGGCUUGGAAAAGUUUUUCAAUAAAAGGAUAUGAUUAAUGGUUCCUAUCCACUAUAGGAUAGGAUCGUGCUCGAUUAUGGUUGUUGGUGAGGUAACGGCUCACCAAGCCGAUAAUCGAUAGGGGCCGUGAGAGCGGGAGCCCCGAGAUGGGUACUGAGACAACGACCCAGGCCUUACGAGGCGCAGCAGGCGCGAAACCUCCGCAAUACACGAAAGUGUGACGGGGUUACCCAAAGUGUUCAUUUAUGAACUGUGGUAGGUGAGUAAUGUCCCCUACUAGAAAGGAGAGGGCAAGGCUGGUGCCAGCCGCCGCGGUAAAACCAGCUCUUCAAGUGGUCGGGAUAUUUAUUGGGCUUAAAGUGUCCGUAGCCGGUUUAACAAGUUCCUGGUAAAAUCAGGUAGCUUAACUAUCUGUAUGCUAGGAAUACUGUUAUACUAGAGGGCGGGAGAGGUCUGAGGUACUACAGGGGUAGGGGUGAAAUCUUAUAAUCCUUGUAGGACCACCAGUGGCGAAGGCGUCAGACUGGAACGCGCCUGACGGUGAGGGACGAAAGCCAGGGGAGCGAACCGGAUUAGAUACCCGGGUAGUCCUGGCCGUAAACGAUGCAUACUAGGUGAUGGCAAGGCCAUGAGCCGUGUCAGUGCCGUAGGGAAACCGUUAAGUGUGCCGCCUGGGAAGUACGGUCGCAAGGCUAAAACUUAAAGGAAUUGGCGGGGGGGCACCACAAGGGGUGAAGCCUGCGGUUCAAUUGAAUUCAACGCCGGG
rnacentral:rRNA from 1 species